GAUGAACGCUGGCGGCGUGCCUAAUACAUGCCAGUCGAGCGAACAGACGAGGAGCUUGCUCCUCUGACGUUAGCGGCGGACGGGUGAGUAACACGUGGAUAACCUACCUAUAAGACUGGGAUAACUUCGGGAAACCGGAGCUAAUACCGGAUAAUAUAUUGAACCGCAUGGUUCAAUAGUGAAAGACGGUUUUGCUGUCACUUAUAGAUGGAUCCGCGCCGCAUUAGCUAGUUGGUAAGGUAACGGCUUACCAAGGCAACGAUGCGUAGCCGACCUGAGAGGGUGAUCGGCCACACUGGAACUGAGACACGGUCCAGACUCCUACGGGAGGCAGCAGUAGGGAAUCUUCCGCAAUGGGCGAAAGCCUGACGGAGCAACGCCGCGUGAGUGAUGAAGGUCUUCGGAUCGUAAAACUCUGUUAUUAGGGAAGAACAAAUGUGUAAGUAACUAUGCACGUCGUGACGGUACCUAAUCAGAAAGCCACGGCUAACUACG
rnacentral:rRNA from 1 species